AUCACUACUGCUGGGGUAUUUUGCUGCCAAGAUAAUGGUCUCUAUUAUGGAUUGAAUGUUAAUGGGCAGUCCUUUCCCCCAGACUACACCCAGCCCCUUCUGCAGCUCCACAUUUGAAGGCCUUGUCUAAGUGGCAUCUCAAUGAGAUGGGCAUGGAAGUCAUCCAACAGCUGCUGGAGGGACUGUGCAGAGUUACGACGGAGACAGUGACUCCUCCAAAGGGGUCUCGAGGGGAUGCAUUGUGCUGGAGUCUCAAUCAAGUGCCUGGAAGCUGAACGUGAAAAACAGUGCUGCCAGGAUUACAGAGAUACUGGCCAUAAAUGCAUUCGUGGGCUCUCAAGAAGCAUUAGGGAUGCCAUGAAGGAGGGGCAUUUUUACUUUGUGUCCUACCAAAUUCACUUAAUUAUACAUUGCAAUGAGGAAAGUGUGGGAAACAGCAAAUCUGAUCUUAGUGUGCCUUCGACUAAUCCAAGCUUAUUGUUUGUGAGUUACUAUUGUGAAAUGAUCCCCUGUGCAUAUAAUGCAGUUAGCUUCAAAUAAAAAUCUGUGGCUUCAGA
rnacentral:lncRNA from 1 species